rnacentral:rRNA from 1 species
GACGGAGGAGGCUAGCGUUGUUCGGAAUUACUGGGCGUAAAGCGUGCGCAGGCGGUUUGGCAAGUCAGGGGUGAAAGCCCGAGGCUCAACCUCGGAACGGCCCUUGAGACUGCCAGGCUGGAGACCGAGAGAGGAGAGUGGAAUUCCCAGUGUAGAGGUGAAAUUCGUAGAUAUUGGGAAGAACACCGGUGGCGAAGGCGGCUCUCUGGCUCGGUACUGACGCUCAUGCACGAAAGCGUGGGGAGCAAACAGG